rnacentral:rRNA from 1 species
UACAGAGGUCUCAAGCGUUGUUCGGAUUCAUUGGGCGUAAAGGGUGCGUAGGUGGCGCCGUAAGUCAGGUGUGAAAUCUCGGGGCUCAACCCCGAAACUGCACUUGAUACUGCGGUGCUCGAGUACUGGAGAGGAGAUUGGAAUUUACGGUGUAGCAGUGAAAUGCGUAGAUAUCUGGAGGAAUACCGAUGGCGAAGGCAGGUCUCUGGGCUGACACUGACGCUCAUGCACGAAAGCGUGGGGAGCAAACAGG